rnacentral:sRNA from 1 species
AUAUCACAGAUCACAUGUAUAAAUGUUUUGCAAAAUCUUACACAACGUCUUCAGCCAUGGCCAGUGUUAGUAAUUUUAUUUAAUUUUUUAAUCAGUGAGCAAGACGUAGUGUUCGAUAUUCUUACGGAUUAGUUAAAAUUCGUACGCAUCCGUAAAGUGGAUGGGAUGGAGUCUUUCUUGCCGUUACACUAUAUGCCAGGUACAGUAUAAGUUAACCUCUGAUUAUUAAAACCAAAUCUGAAUACAAUAUCCUAUUAUAAUAUGUAUUUCAAAUCUGAAUCAUCAUUGCAAAUUAUGCUUUCAAAAUUAUGGAUCUUCAUUGAAGACAAAAAUCGUGAUCCUUUCUUAGUUAAAACUCCAAAAUAAUAAAUAGACAAACUCACCAGUGUUUACUUUGCAAGUCCCAGCGACGUACAAUGAAAGAACGAAGUCUGUAAGUGUUUAGGUGCCCACCUCAGGACACAUACACGGGCAGGGGCGUGGGCCGAUCUAAAUAUAGAACAGGCGGCAUAUCUGUCAGACUUUAUUGCCUCCCUGUCAUCGGUGUAGGGUCAAUGAGUGACCACAGCUAGUACACAGGGGCGAGGAAGUUCCCAUUGACUCUACCAACAAAUUAAAGUAAUGCAACUUGGAUCUUCUUUUUUUCACCAUUCCAUAUAUGUAAACGCGGAUAAAGAUACAACCAAGAAACAGUGGUCAGUAUGCCAAAAUUCCUUUUUAAAGCAUUUAUUAGGAAAUAAAUUGACGUGCGUUUUACAAUUGCAAUAUAUAUUUAUUAAUCCAAAGUCUCUUUUUAAGUACAAAAUAUAAAAACACUUUAAAUACUGAAAUUGUUUUAAAGUAAUUUUUCAAAAAUUUAUUUUUUUAUCUGUCUUAUUUUUAUUUUGACUUUGUAGAUGGAACUUGCUAGAAAUAAACGAAUUUUUGUACAAAGAGUAUUAUUCGUCGUUAAUCUGUGUUUAAACGAAUCCUUCCUGGAUUAACGCUUUUACUUCAUUAAGACAUACCUGUAACAUUAUAUAAAUAGUGCCUGUUUGGGAGGGUAACAGUUGAAAUUGACACCCCGAGGAAACCAUUGUCAACCGACGCGCACUAUUUAUUUUAUUAUACUGAAUAUCUUAAUUUUAAAGAUUUAUUACUGCUUUCAUAUAGAAAUGACGUGAAUUCUACGGCGAACCGUGCGCGCAUAAUUUACGCGCAUGUAACAAUUCGUUGUGUUACCCGUUGCUAAGUGUGUUGCUAACGCCGAGGGUGCCUCUAAACCAAUCAGAUUUCAGUAUUUAACAUGAAAGUAUAAUAAUAAAGUAUAUACUUAGAACAAAACAAGAAGCCCUCCAAUAUAACGCAUCGUAAUGUUCAAUGUACGCGCCCAAUGGUAUACAACCAUUACAUGGCUUUGAUCACUUGUAUUGUAACACAGCUAUUUCAUGGGUUAACCUUUAUAUAGCUUAACUGUGUGUUACAUAUUCACUGGGGGUGGGGGUUGGAGGGGGGAUAAAAAAUAUAUUUUUGUACAACAACACACGUAUGUAUCGAUGAAUUGUUUAUUGGCACACGUAAUGAUAUAUACUCGUUGGAAUCCAAGGGUGCUGUAUUCUUUAGAACACGGCAUGAUGAACCUAACUGUACCUUUGAGCAUUGGUAUUUAUAUGAACACAUGAGGGUACCUUUGUAAUGUUAAAUUUAGACGAAAUUCUUGCUUCAAUCUUACUGGAAUAUAUAUUUUGGUAUACUUGUUUAUUCGCUCCUACAAGAUAUUGUGUAUCUUAGAGGGGCGGUUUUAUUGACUAUUCUAGACAUUUCAAAAUGAAAAAUAAACUUUGAGAAAUUUG